GUGUUGAAAGGGACAGAGAGAAGACAAAAUGAAAACAAGAUCAUCAGAUUCUCCAAACCCUAUAUACAGGAAACAGGCUUAUGAAACUACUCAGCUUCAGGAUAUGACCUUUGAGACAUUGAUUUCCCAAAGAAGCAUCUAUGUAACUUGUUCCCUUGACAUCGAUUUCUGAAUUGUCUCCUUGAAAAAAUGGAAGUCACCUACAAAAGAGUUGCAGGAAAAGUAGAAGACAUUGCUCCAUGAAGGAAGCAUGAAUGGUUACUUCAAAAGUUGGGAUAUAUGUGAGCAAGACUGUGGAUAGACAGAGACACUUCACAUUCUCUUGCAAAACUAUGUGUAUAUAUCCCCCUGAGAAAUACGACUUUUCAUUUAGAUCAAUGUUCAUGUUGGGGGAGAGAGAGGAGACCUUUAUUUCUUCAAGGAAACACGAACUGGGUUAACCAUGGCUGCCUCUGGGUAGUGGGAUGGAGGAGUCUGAAAGGAUGGGAUGCUCUGCUGUUCUGGACCACACUCAGGCGGUUCAUGUUUAAGAAGCUUGAGAAAAGCUUUAGGAGAGAUGCCUUCCCAGACUUGUGCUGUGCGGGGGGACGGAGGAAAGGAGGUGUGCCCGCUGAUCAUCUUUGGUGCCUUUCAAUGUUCUGCUGCAAAUGUCUUCAACAGCCAAAUCUCCUGACAGAAAGCAUCACCACGUGAAGAAUGCACCUGGGACACCUUCUCUAACCCUCCCCAGCCUCUCUGCCACCACACCUGACGCACCCUCUGCAAUACAGCACAUCAUGUACUGAACCGCUGCAGGCCACACUGAAGAACUGCCCUCUGGUUGUCACAUUGCUCCCCGGGGUGCAUUCUUCGUCCCCAAAUCUCUGAAGAGCACAGCUCUGUACCCUGAAGGCUGGCAGGACUUACUUAGGAAAACUGUCGCUUUGAGGCCCACACAGCCUAGAAAAACACGAUGAACUUGGUGACCAGAUGAUACCAUUUAACAUAUGAUUCUACAGCAGAACCUCCGACUAUGAACAUCCUAUUGCGAAUAUCCCAUACAGAAUCAGGCAUAAGGGUCAGCUUUGGAAAGACUCGGCUUUGACCUGCUUACGUACCACUCACUCCCUCGGUUCCCCGAAACACCUCUCCCAGAAGCUCCAGAUCAGUUGCUGGGUGUUAAAUGAGAUCCAGAACAUCAGGCCCAGAGCACAGUGACUGCCUGAGCAGGACCAAGUGACUGAGAAAAGAAGCAAAGUGCAACUCUAUUUGAAAAAAUGGAAGCCAGUGUUCUGUGAUGGCAGAAAAAUUAAUAAAACUGGCCCCCCCCAGUAAUCCAGAAGAUGGAAAGAGCACAGCGAAACUUGCAGCCUUGGCUAAAGAGGUUCCACGAAUGUUGAAAGUGCCAGCCGUCUUCUUUGUAACUGUGUAUAAGGUCAGAUAUUUUGAUCGAAAGUGAAAGCGUAUCUGACUUACUCUGCCCUGCUUUUAGCAUCAUGUAGAGUUCCAUGGAAAUAAAAGAAGAAAAAGCAUGAAAACAACUGAAGCUAAGGAGUCAGAACGAAGGUCGAUGUCGUCAUUUAAAUACAACAACAAAAAAGACCCUCACAAAUCAAGCCUGGAGAGAGAUUACUGGAGAUUGACAGGAUGAGAAACUACUGGUAUGUGAGACAAGCUCCUGGGGAGAGUUUCUGAUGCCAGGAUGCUCUGGAGCACCUCCCAGUGUGGCGUGACGAUCAGGUAAGCAAAGAUAAACGUAGGAAGAUUAUGAUACCCAGAGGAACCCUGGGAUGCAGCCCUGAGAUGCAGUGGGUGUUGAAGAUGUGUUCUAAAGACUCAGGAGGCAUUUUCUGGAUGAAGACUAACUGGAGGACAUGUAUAAGAAUGGUCUGACUGGUCCAGUGAACUGUAUGUGCAAAGAACAACCAGGAAGACGGUAUGAACUUCAUGGAACUGCACAUAGUUCGGUAUUGCUGAAAGGAAGAAGGCAACUAUGACUCAGACUGGUAAGAAAUGAGGAAAGAAACGUGAACCCUAAUGUCAUGAAGUUUCCGGUCCAGUGACGGAUACAGGUCAACAGACAGCUGCGAUUUUAACGGGGAACAUUGAGCUGCUGCAUCGGAUGACUUGGUCCAGAGCAAUGCUGCCCCACGGAAAGAGGAUGCAGGCCACAGAUGUGAGGGACACGUGUGAUUUAAAAUUUUCUGGCAUCCACAUUUCAAAAGAAAAAAAAAAGGCCACACCCAUGGCAUGUGGCACUCCUGCAUGAUUUUAAAAAUGAAGAAUCCUUGUAUCGGAACGACUUACAAGGUGGGAGAGGGCCAGGAGAAAUGUUUCUGUGUAUUGUCUUUCUGUAUCGUCUUUCUCUUUUGCCAUCCUUAAAAACUGAUCAGGAGUCAGAAAGCAUUUACAAAGUUAUAGUUUAAAAUUGAGCAUAUGAGUUAAUUACCAUUAAAUACCCUGCAAUUGGUUCAUGUGUGUGAUCACAGACAGCUUCGCAGCAACUAAUUCAGAGACGGAGGGCCCCUCAGGCUUGAGGGGUGGGGAUUAUCUUGCCAUUGCUGAAAAAGAAGACUUUUGAGGAGGAAGAACCUUCCCUUUUAAGUUUCACCUCCUGUGGAAAUUAACUCUGACUCUCCUUGAAAACUACUACUAUUGCAAUGCGGGAUUAAUUUUUUUUAUAGACCAGUGUGUUGGGAUGUUACACCAAUGGCUCUUAAUCUUUUUGGUGUCAUACGCUCCAUGGAGAAACCUCAUGGAAUUUAAGAAAAAGCACCUCCCAUAGAGGGCACUCUACAGAUAACACAAAUUUCAGGAAUUUCAUAGGUGGAGGCCCUCUAUAAGAUAUUCAUACAGAUGAAGACCUGUUGAGCCGAACCAGAGGCGAGGCCAGGAGAUACUAAAUGGAAGGGCAGGUGGUAUCUUUGAAACAUCUAAAUUCACGGAACAAGAGCGUUCCUUGGUCCUCGUUGGAUGUUGGAGUCUGUCAUGAGAAAUGAUUAUUUUAAAAAACCUCCUGGAACAGUGAAAAGGAAUUCUCUUUCAAGCACCUCACCACCGGCCACCUCUCCGUUUUGGGGUGAAGUGUCCUUUUAGAGUGAGUCGCUCUCUUAGGAAUAUAUACAAGAGAAUGAAUCAUGUUCACCUGUAACAGAAGGGGAAAAGGACGUUGCUAAUUAAGAACAGGGCAAUUCAAACUUCUUCUUAGCCCUGGGGAAGAAUACCCAGGUGUGCUGAGACAGAUAUGCUUGGAAAAAGAAAAAGAGAUGCUCUAUAGUAAAUGCACAGCACGAGGCCUUCUUUCGUGAAUUGAUUUUCCCACUGGGUGACAUCUUGGCAAUUUCUCUUACCCAACCAAUGAUAUAACUAAGUAGAUGAAGCUGAAAGCUGGGUCAGAUAAAAAAAGAAUUUUUAAUCUAACAAAAGCAGCCUCAGUCUUUGCCAUGAAGGGAAGCUGAUUUAACAAGCAAGUGGCAGAUUAAAUAGGAAGCUGAAACAGGGGAGGAAAAAAAAUCAUAUUAAACCAUUAAAAACUGAAGAUAGUAGAAUGUCACAAUGCCAAUUAUUUGGAGCAAAAGCACAACACUACCAUAGAACUUUCAACAAUAAGAUAAAUUAUAUCUGCUUUAGAUGUAUAAAAAAAUAGGUCCUUUGUUCUCUGUAUAUAUUUGAAAUUAAAUGCUAUUGUUUAAUUAAUAGACUGUAACUUCAUGCAUUAAAGAAAAGCCUGAAAGGGCAUAUGAGUAUUUGGGGCCUCAGACUUACUUCUGCAUCUCAAAAACAGGGAGAGUCCAUGUGUUUCAAAGUUCGAAACAUAAACUGAUAUUCGAAUUACCUGGGAUAUCUUGCUUUUAAUGCAGAUUCUUAGGUUCCAGUGACCUAUUGAAUCAGAAACAGAACGGUCAAGCUUUGGAAUCUGCAUUUGAACAAGCUGCUAGGUAAGAAACCCACUAAAAUGUGAGGACUUUUCAUUCAUACUCUUACUUGGAACACUCCAGAAAAUGCCAUCCUGCGACAGGGGCUCCCCCGGAAACCCCCCCCCCCCAUUGUUAUAGGCUAGGACUCUUCUCCGUUCACUCUCCUUCCUCCUCACACUAACUCCUCAUAUUGGGAUCCCCCACACGCACCCCACGCUUCACCCUACUCACGGCCCAGAAUGGUCCCUCGUAGCUAAAAGUAUGAGGGAGGGAGGGACGGGCCGGGGGCAGGGGGGGAGCCCUCAGGUCCGCGUCCCACUGUGGCUCCUUCCUCGUAAUGAGAUUCUCCAUCCCGACCCCAUCGCAGCUCCCUUAGCCUCAGGUCAGAACCGCCUUGCAGCCCCAGUGUUGAAACACCAGGAUAAAGGCACCAAAGCGCACAGGAAGUUUCAUGUCUGAAGACCCACCCGCGCAUCUCUCCUCCACAAAAGUAGGCAAAACCCUGCCUCAUCAGCUUGGAAAAGGAAAAGGGAAGGGGCAGCCUUGUAAAAAAGAAGUCUUUUGAAAGGCCCUUUCUGUUUCCCCAUGAUUAAGGCUGCCGUCACAUUCCCAAGGGAAGGCCGAAGAUCGUUGCGACGCAGCAGGACCUAAAAUAAAGGAAAACCAUGCAAUCCAAGUCUCGUACACACAGAAUACAGAGGUGAUCAGAGAGGCCACGCUUGGCCAAGAAUGGCCAUCAGGGCUUCCCAUUGGGAAGAUGCCCCCACUUCAACCCACCCAGUUUCUUGCUUCAUAGUCCUGGCCCGCAAUUCCUGCUAAUCGCAUUGCACCAUCGCCAGGCUCCAUGCUUCAGCUGGCAAGGCGACUCGGAAGAAUUUGGAGGCUGUCCAGCGCAUUGCUCUCUGGGGAGUGGCAGAGCUGAGAGUAGGCAGAAGCCUUCGACCAGGUGAAAAUAUUCCACUGUCACCAGAGCAACUCUGUGUCCUUUCCUGUAGAGCACCCCUUGUCAGGAUUCUAGAAUUCCAUCUGCAGUGUCACAGAGCAGAUUCAAUACAUGUUUGUAAAGUCUUCUUUUUUAUUUAUUUUUAUUUUUUUGUCCUUUUGCCAUUUCUUGAGCCACUCCCACGGCAUAUGGAGGUUCCCAGGCUAGGGGUCUAAUUGGAGCUGUAGCCACCAGCCUACACCACAGCCCACGGCAACACCAGAUCCUUCACCCACUGAGCAAGGCCAAGGAUCAAACCUGCAACCUCAUGGUUCCUAGUCGGAUUCGUUAACCACUGCCCCAGGGCAGGAACUCCCCUGUAAAGUCUUCUGUUAGCCUAAAAUAGAGUCAUCAUUGAUGCAUUCACUCAUUUAAAUUACCUUUGUAACUUUAGUAUCAGUUUUCUGAAUAAUCAAACUGUUUUAUCCUGACCAGUUUUUACGUGUUUAUGUGCCUUGAAGAGAUCAGUGAGGGUGUCAAGAAAACCAGUGGGCUUUGGAUGCAAAGAAAUCUACCUUUCAAAGUCUUGCUGAGUACUAACUGCAUGAUUUAGAACAAGUUAUUUCGUCUCACCAAGCUUAAAGUUUCAUGUCCAUAAAUUGAGGAUGAUAAUAUCUAUCUGGAAUGUAUUUCUGUGAGCAAUUAAUUAACAAAUAUUUAUUGCCCUGUUGAAGAAGACCCACGGGCAAGCACACAGUUCGUUUCCAGGUGCUCCGUGCUGAGGCGGGUGGGGGAUGACUGCAGAGCUACGGGAGGGGUGGGGAAGGUGGCGAAUGGACAAACUGGGGGAAGACGUCAAAAGUUAGCAACUAAGUCAGUCUGGGGAUGUAUGCCCAGGGUGGGAACUGCAGUUUACAACACUAUUUUGCAUAUUUGGCAGUUGCUGAGAGGGUAGUUUUUUUGUUUUUUGAGGGUUUUUUGUCUUUUUAGGGCCGGACCUACCACUCAUGGAUGUUCCUAGGCUAAGGGCUGAAUCAGAGCUGCCGCUGCCCGGCCCACACCACAGCCACGGUAACGCAGGAUCCGAGCUGCAUCUAUGACCUACACUGAAGCUUGUGGCAAAGCCAGAUCCUUAACCCUGAGCGACGCCAGGGAUCAAACCCAUAUCCUCAUGGAUUCUAGUCAGGUUCCUAACCCGCUGAGUCACCACAGGAACUCUGAGAGGGUAGAUCUCAAAGUUCUCAAGAAAAAAACUGGACCGAUCCAUGGGGAUGGACGUUCAUGAAACUUAUUCCAGAGAUCAUUUUGCAAUAGGUGCAAACAUCAAAGAAGAAUGUGUUACAUCUAAAAUGAGGAGCGCGUUCCAUGUCAGUGGUUUCUCAAUUCAGGAAACGAAAGGGCUGUAGGAACAUCUGGAGGGAAAACCAAGGUUGUUCUUGGAAAGAAGGAAUGCCCAGGAAGGCUUUGCGGAGGUGAGGGCAUGAGAAAGACAGGCUGUGUUAGGAAAGCGGGAUGGGUUCAGGCAAGCGCUUGUCGGCACAGAGAGGACAUCAAGAGUGAGGCUUGGAGCCAAGUCAGAACAGGCAGGCAGAAGGUCUGCAAGGACCUGGCGGACAGGGGAAGACGGGAAGGGGGUGAGGUGAGGGGUGGUGGUUGGGAAGAGGUGAGAAACAGUCAGACACAGGGGGGCAUUUCCUGUGCCCAACUCUGUUAGGUCUGUGUCCUAUAACCUUGCAGAGUUCCUGUUGUGACUCUUUGGGUUAUAAACCCGACCAGUAUCAUGAGGAUACAGGUUCGAUCCCUGGCCUCACUCAGUAGGUUAAGGAUCCAGCAUUGCCACAAGCUGUGGCGUAUGCCACAGGUGUGGCCCUUGAAAAAAAGAAAGAAAGAGAAAAGAAAGAAAGGAAGAAAAGAAAAGAAGGAAGGAAAGAAAGAAAAAGAAAAGAAUGAAAGAAA
rnacentral:lncRNA from 1 species